rnacentral:misc_RNA from 1 species
CACCACUCAAGCACUGCUUGGUAUUGGGCACUCGUCCGCCGAAAGGCGGGCGUGCCUCGAAGACCUCGGCGGGGUUUCACCAACUUCGGGCGUAGUAGAGUUAAAUCGAACGUCUUACAAGCUUGAUGGAGCCUCAUUGCCGUUAAACCUUUUAUUUUUCA